rnacentral:rRNA from 1 species
GUGAGCCUUUUGAGUUGGAACUGCAGAGGAGGAGGGAAUUCUCGGACUGCUCGUGAUCUUGUGAGCUUGGUGCAGACUCAUUCCCCCAGUAUUGUUUUCCUGUGUGAAACUAGGCAGUCCAAGGAUAGAAUGAAAAGAUAUAUGCCUCGUCUAGGGUUAAGAGGCUUUGAUGCAGUUGAUAGUGUUGGUUUGAGUGGAGGUCUUGCUCUCUAUUGGCAUGAGUCAUUG